CGGGAGCCGGUCUCCGAGAACUGCUGGCUGCGUGGUUUCUGGUUGCCAUACACAGAGGCAAACAAAGCCGGGCCGCGCGGGGUAGCCCCGCCCAGCGCCAGGCCCGGCUCGGGUUUCCCGCACCUCGCGGGGGCCAGCCAGGUGGAGCCGGGUCACCCCGGGAUGUUUUCCUCCGCAGGUCGCCUUCUGGGGAGCAGGUGGGAGGGCUGCCAACCUCUAGGGGACUUCCUGGGGCUCUGUAGGGCCAGCCUCUCCUCCCCUGUAUCAGCUCUGAAGGCUGCCUCCUUCUCUGGAGAACAAAGGCAAAGGAAGGGUUGCCACAGGCUUGGCUUGCCACCCUCCAUCACAUCGUCAUCACCACCACCAACAGCUAAUACUUUCUGAGCAGGGCCAGUGGCUUCAGGAGGCCUGCGUCUUCUGCAAGCAUCUGGAGACUAUGGUGGGCUCACUUGGUAGUUUGCAAGUAGGAAGGACAUCUUGGACCUUUUGUGUUUCUAACAAGGACUUCAAGGAACAGGGCACAAUCUUUGGCUCUAGUGAACUUUUCUUCCCUGCCUUUUCCUAACUUUAUUGUGAUAAAAUUUACCUCAAUAAAUGCAUCUAUUUUAAGUUUAAA